rnacentral:rRNA from 1 species
GAGUUUGAUCCUGGCUCAGGAUGAACGCUGGCGGCGUGCUUAACACAUGCAAGUCGAACGAAGCAUUUAGGACAGAUUACUUCGGUUUGAAGUUCUUUAUGACUGAGUGGCGGACGGGUGAGUAACGCGUGAGUAACCUGCCCUAGAGUGGGGGACAACAGUUGGAAACGACUGCUAAUACCGCAUAAGCCCACGGUACCGCAUGAUACUGAGGGAAAAGGAUUUAUUCGCUUUAGGAUGGACUCGCGUCCAAUUAGCUAGUUGGUGAGGUAACGGCCCACCAAGGCGACGAUUGGUAGCCGGACUGAGAGGUUGAACGGCCACAUUGGGACUGAGACACGGCCCAGACUCCUACGGGAGGCAGCAGUGGGGGAUAUUGCACAAUGGGGGAAACCCUGAUGCAGCGACGCCGCGUGGAGGAAGAAGGUUUUCGGAUUGUAAACUCCUGUCGUUAGGGACGAUAAUGACGGUACCUAACAAGAAAGCACCGGCUAACUACGUGCCAGCCGCCGCGGUAAUAC